GUUCUGCAUCGGGCCUGACUCAUGCGCAGUCAUAUCCUGCCGACACCCAUGUGCAGGCCUGGUCCUACACCAUGUGUGUAUCGUGACAGGGGCGUGACUCCAGCUGAAAAUAUGAUCCUCCUUCCGCCGGCCCGCCGGUCUCAACGCUUAGGGGGGCACAAACUGGGCGUGUUCUCUCCGAUGACUUUCCCUGCUGGGCAUCUAUUCCCCUCCCUGAAGAGGAGACCAGCUCCAGCUGCUACCGCAGUAGGAGCACUACAAAUCAAUUCUGACAGCGAAGCGGGGCGCUCCCUGGAACGAAGAAGGCAAAUAACCACAAGACAGACAAGAGAGAGAGUCUCUGUCUGUCUGUUCAUGGGAAACCUGCUCCCGGCCUGCACAUGGAAGCCCUUCUCCACUGCUGAAUACGUCACCG
ensembl:lncRNA